rnacentral:tRNA from 1 species
GGUCCGCUGGCUCAAUGGCAGAGCGUCUGACUACGGCCCAAUCAGGAGGUUCCAGGUUCGACCCCUGGGUGGAUCG